ACAAUCUUAGCGGUGGAUCACUCGGCUCGUGCGU
rnacentral:rRNA from 1 species